rfam:Parcubacteria bacterium GW2011_GWA1_60_11 TZ00_C0011, whole genome shotgun sequence.
GCCCUUGUAGCUCAAUGGACAGAGCUAUCCCGUCCUAAGGGAGAGAUGCGGGUUCGAUUCCUGCCGAGGGCA